UAGGGAAUCUUCGGCAAUGGACGAAAGUCUGACCGAGCAACGCCGCGUGAGUGAAGAAGGUUUUCGGAUCGUAAAACUCUGUUGUUAGAGAAGAACAAGGACGUUAGUAACUGAACGUCCCCUGACGGUAUCUAACCAGAAAGCCACGGCUAACUACGUGCCAGCAGCCGCGGUAAUACGUAGGUGGCAAGCGUUGUCCGGAUUUACUGGUCGUAAAGCGAGCGCAGGCGGUUUCUUAAGUCUGAUGUGAAAGCCCCCGGCUCAACCGGGGAGGGUCAUUGGAAACUGGGAGACUUGAGUGCAGAAGAGGAGAGUGGAAUUCCAUGUGUAGCGGUGAAAUGCGUAGAUAUAUGGAGGAACACCAGUGGCGAAGGCGGCUCUCUGGUCUGUAACUGACGCUGAGGCUCGAAAGCGUGGGGAGCAAACAGG
rnacentral:rRNA from 1 species